rfam:Propionivibrio sp. S1 isolate 2 genome assembly, contig: PROAA_Contig_19
CUUCUUCGAUCUGUUGCGGGCAGAUGAAGUGAAUGUGGCAGUCGAUGCCGCCGGCGGUGACGAUCAUGCCUUCGCCGGCAAUCGCUUCGGUGCCGGGGCCGAUGACAAUGUCAACGCCGGGCUGGAUGUCCGGGUUGCCGGCCUUGCCGAUGGCAGCGAUACGGCCAUCCUUGAGGCCGAUGUCGGCCUUGACGAUGCCGGUGACGGCGUCAACGAUCAGCGCAUUGGUGAUGACCGUAUCGACCGUUUCGGCCGAGACACGCUGGCUCUGGCCCAUGCCGUCGCGGAUG